ACUGAUCACUGUCAAUUUUGACAGACCGAGGAAAAGUUACCAAGCUUAGCUUGUCCAGGCCUCCAGGGCCUAGGUUCUGAGCCCCAGCAACUCUCCCAAUGUUCCCCAAAGGCUGGUGGGAGCAGCAGGAAGUGUUCUUCCGAACAAGCAAGACAAAGAAUGUUACUUAAUUGUUUUCUUUCUUUCCUCUUUUGAUUUGAAAGGCGGUCCUCUCCUUGCGGGGACUGGAGAAUGCCACCGAGAGGAAGAGAGCCAUGGAGGAUGUGGGGUAAGCCCUGGUCUGAGGUGACCAUGGAAGAACAGAGCCUGGAACUCCCGGGAGCUGACCUUUCCCACCGUGCUGCAGGCUCUGCUGGAGAACACCGUGGGAACAGGCUGCUGGCUGCGCUGCUGCAGUUUGGACCAGAAUUUCCCAGAUUCUCAGAAGAUGGCUACUGGAAUAUUGAAAAUGUUCUCUCACACACACACUCUCCACUGGCAGAGAUUUGUAGUGAACAGGCCUAUCCUGUUCAUGGAUCGGGUAAAACUAGGAACCUGCUUUCCAGGUCGGAUGUCCCUCACCAGACUGACAGACGUGGACUAGUGGCUUCUUUUUCACCUCUUUCUAAUUGGAUCACCCGGGGAACUGUGCACGCGCAGAUGUAGCAUACUGUCCAUGAAAACCUGGGUAGCUAGGAGAGGGUGUAUUAUCUAUGCAUCUUGUUUGCAAACACUGGGGCUCACUUCCUAGCAGGAGUUCUACAUAUACAAAUCCUCAGAAAUAAACAAGACUCAGGGUUGAACCCUGGGCCAAUGAUGGCCAAACCAGUGCCUCUGGCCUCUCUGUGAUUUAAUCUCACAUUGCCCUUGGCUAUGUCAUGAGCAGUGGCCCUUGACAUGAGAGGCUGAUUCUUGGUGUCCCACCUCUUCCAAGUCUCAUGACAAUGGUCUAGCUGGACUCCUACACGAUCAUAUAGACCUUGCUAUCAGGCUCUGGGACCUGCCACCAUCCUUGCCAUGGGGCUAUAGAUGUAUCUCACCACACCUAGCUUUUUCUUGGGUUCUAGAGACUUGAACUCAGGACUACAAGCUUGCAUGACAGCCACCUCCCUCACUUAGCCAUCUCCCUAGCUUUUAUGUGUGCUUUGAGACAAGGUCUCUCUUUGGCUGGACAGUGGUCCCUAAAUGGUCCUUCUCCUACACCUGCCUCCCUAACAAUGAAAGUACAAGUUUGCCUCACCAUGCCCGACUUGUUUGGUUCCCCUAAACGUUGGUUCUGAGAAUCAAACUCAGGUACUUACACAUGUGUGCAGCAAGUGCUUCAUCCGCUGACCUAUUUCCCCAACCUCCCCUUACCCUGUGGGGUUCUGAGGCAGGCAACCUGCUCAGGAGUUCUCUCUGCCUGAUACCCACAGACUUUUGGGCACAAGAACCCAGUGGAGCACUGACUACGUCCCUGGACUGUGUGUCCUUACUGCCACCUAGGGCUGCUGCCCUACUUCUGAGCUGGGAUAGACCUGGUCAGUGUCCAGCAAAUGCUCUCUGAUCUUACUUCUCUGUGGCCAUCCUUCUGUCCCUCUGUCUUAACUGCCUGCUUGGUCCACAAAGCCCAUUCAUCUAUCCAAGGAGCAGACACAGAUAAGUCCUGUCUUUGGGUUGUGAAUACCUGUGAGGUUGAUAGAUUACACCAGGCUUUAAGGACCCUGAAAGACCCUAAGGUGUUUUCCAGUCCCACACCCUCCUUACAGGUGCCCCUCCCCCCUGGGGUCAAGGCUAGGCCAAGUUCCAUCCUCCACCCAUAGGACCAUUCUUAAGUAAAAAAUUCUUGGAAUGUACUGACUGAUAGUCACCUGACCCUCUGAAAAGUCCCAGGUAGAGUUCAAAUGCAUGCCAUGCUUUAUAGCCAAUAGAUUUAAAGGUUAAUAUGCUUAGUCAUUACGUUUGAACUGUAACCUUGCUGAUAUAACCUGUGCCCCUGAAAAGUAUAAAAACUGCUUGUAACAGCCAUUCGGGGGUCACCUUCUCAUCACUCGCCUUGAGGGACUGAUUGAGAGUUGACCCCAGUGCGCCAGAAAAUAAACCUCUUGCUUUCGCAUCGAUCUGCAUCUAGGUGUCUCACUUGGGGGCGUCUUGAAGUAAGUGCCACUGACCAAGGGUUGGGGGUCUUACAAUCCAAGCAAGGAAGCAAAACAGGAAGGCAUGCCACCGAGUAU
rnacentral:lncRNA from 1 species